rnacentral:rRNA from 1 species
GCCGUAAACGAUGAGUGCUAAGUGUUAGGGGGUUUCCGCCCCUUAGUGCUGCAGCUAACGCAUUAAGCACUCCGCCUGGGGAGUACGGCCGCAAGGCUGAAACUCAAAGGAAUUGACGGGGGCCCGCACAAGCGGUGGAGCAUGUGGUUUAAUUCGAAGCAACGCGAAGAACCUUACCAGGUCUUGACAUCCCGCUGCCCGCCUUGGAGACAAGGCUUUCCCUUCGGGGACAGCGGUGACAGGUGGUGCAUGGUUGUCGUCAGCUCGUGUCGUGAGAUGUUGGGUUAAGUCCCGCAACGAGCGCAACCCUUGAUCUUAGUUGCCAGCAUUCAGUUGGGCACUCUAAGGUGACUGCCGGUGACAAACCGGAGGAAGGUGGGGAUGACGUCAAAUCAUCAUGCCCCUUAUGACCUGGGCUACACACGUGCUACAAUGGACGGUACAAAGGGCAGCCAACCCGCGAGGGGGAGCCAAUCCCAGAAAACCGUUCUCAGUUCGGAUUGCAGGCUGCAACUCGCCUGCAUGAAGCCGGAAUCGCUAGUAAUCGUGGAUCAGCAUGCCACGGUGAAUACGUUCCCGGGCCUUGUACACACCGCCCG